ACAUCCUGGGGCUGAAGUAGAUCCCAAGGGUAUGGCUGUUCGCCAUUUAAAGUGGUACGCGAGCUGGGUUUAGAACGUCGUGAGACAGUUCGGUCCCUAUCUGCCGUGGGCGCUGGAGAACUGAGGGGGGCUGCUCCUAGUACGAGAGGACCGGAGUGGACGCAUCACUGGUGUUCGGGUUGUCAUGCCAAUGGCACUGCCCGGUAGCUAAAUGCGGAAGAGAUAAGUGCUGAAAGCAUCUAAGCACGAAACUUGCCCCGAGAUGAGUUCUCCCUGAGACUUUAAGUCUCCUGAAGGAACGUUGAAGACGACGACGUUGAUAGGCCGGGUGUGUAAGCGCAGCGAUGCGUUGAGCUAACCGGUACUAAUGAACCGUGAGGCUUAACCUUACAACGCCGAAG
rnacentral:rRNA from 1 species